rnacentral:rRNA from 1 species
GAAUCUUAGACAAUGGGGGAAACCCUGAUCUAGCCAUGCCGCGUGAUCGAUGAAGGCCUUAGGGUUGUAAAGAUCUUUCAGCUGGGAAGAUAAUGACGGUACCAGCAGAAGAAGCCCCGGCUAACUCCGUGCCAGCAGCCGCGGUAAUACGGAGGGGGCUAGCGUUAUUCGGAUUUACGGGGCGUAAAGCGCACGUAGGCGGAUCAGAAAGUUAGGGGUGAAAUCCCGGGGCUCAACCUCGGAACUGCCUCUAAAACUCCUGGUCUUGAGGUCGAGAGAGGUGAGUGGAAUUCCGAGUGUAGAGGUGAAAUUCGUAGAUAUUCGGGGGAACACCAGUGGCGAAGGCGACCACCUGGGCUCAUACUGACACUGAGGUGCGAAAGCGUGGGGAGCAAACA